AAAAAAAAACUGAAGUAACAAAAACAGAGUUUCGAACGCGGUAGCUCUAACUACCACCGCCUGUCUUUCAACGAGAAAAGAACCAAGGAAUGGCACGCAAGAAGAUCAGAGAGUACGAUUCCAAGAGAUUGUUGAAGCAGCAUUUCAAGAGGCUUUCCGGCAAUGAUUUACCAAUCAAAUCUGCACAAGUGACGGAGUCAACUGAUUUCAAUGAGCUAGCCGAGAAGGAGCCAUGGCAUUUGUAAC